rnacentral:rRNA from 1 species
AAACCAUGCACCGAAGCUGCGGCAGCGACACUAUGUGUUGUUGGGUAGGGGAGCGUUCUGUAAGCCUGCGAAGGUGACCUGUGAGGGUUGCUGGAGGUAUCAGAAGUGCGAAUGCUGACAUAAGUAACGAUAAAGCGGGUGAAAAGCCCGCUCGCCGGAAGACCAAGGGUUCCUGUCCAACGUUAAUCGGGGCAGGGUGAGUCGACCCCUAAGGCGAGGCCGAAAAGGCGUAGUCGAUGGGAAACAGGUUAAUAUUCCUGUACUUGGUGUUACUGCGAAGGGGGGGACGGAGAAGGCUAUGUUAGCCGGGCGACGGUUGUCCCGGUUUAAGCAUGUAGGCUGAUUAUCCAGGCAAAUCCGGAUAAUCAAGGCUGAGGUGUGAUGACGAGGCACUACGGUGCUGAAGUAACAAAUGCCCUGCUUCCAGGAAAAGCCUCUAAGCAUCAGGUAACAUCAAAUCGUACCCCAAACCGACACAGGUGGUCAGGUAGAGAAUACCAAGGCGCUUGAGAGAACUCGGGUGAAGGAACUAG